AUUGAACGCUGGCGGCAUGCCUUACACAUGCAAGUCGAACGGCAGCACGGGAGCAAUCCUGGUGGCGAGUGGCGAACGGGUGAGUAAUAUAUCGGAACGUGCCCAGUCGUGGGGGAUAACGCAGCGAAAGCUGUGCUAAUACCGCAUACGAUCUAUGGAUGAAAGCGGGGGAUCGCAAGACCUCGCGCGAUUGGAGCGGCCGAUAUCAGAUUAGCUAGUUGGUGGGGUAAAGCUCACCAAGGCGACGAUCUGUAGCUGGUCUGAGAGGACGACCAGCCACACUGGAACUGAGACACGGUCCAGACUCCUACGGGAGGCAGCAGUGGGAAUUUUGGACAAUGGGCGCAAGCCUGAUCCAGCAAUGCCGCGUGCAGGAUGAAGGCCUU
rnacentral:rRNA from 1 species